UGGAAAAGGAGCCCAUCUGGGGGUUCUUCUUUCUCCCCUUCACAGGUAAAGGAGGUGCUGCUGAGUGGUUAAAAGAUGAUCCAUAACAUUGGCAAUGGUGGAGAGAGAAGAAAAUACCUCCUGAAGUUAAACCCAAAGAGAACAGCCAAUUAUACACAGAGACAGUGUCUCACAGAAGUGCAGUGGCAGAUUAUACCUCACUGUAACCUCGAACUCCUGACCUCAAGUGAUGCUCCUGCCGC